rnacentral:rRNA from 1 species
GACGAACGCUGGCGGCGUGCUUAACACAUGCAAGUCGAACGGAAAGGCCCUGCUUUUGUGGGGUGCUCGAGUGGCGAACGGGUGAGUAACACGUGAGUAACCUGCCCUUGACUUUGGGAUAACUUCAGGAAACUGGGGCUAAUACCGGAUAGGAGCUCCUGCUGCAUGGUGGGGGUUGGAAAGUUUCGGCGGUUGGGGAUGGACUCGCGGCUUAUCAGCUUGUUGGUGGGGUAGUGGCUUACCAAGGCUUUGACGGGUAGCCGGCCUAAGAGGGUGACCGGCCACAUUGGGACUGAGAUACGGCCCAGACUCCUACGGGAGGCAGCAGUGGGGAAUAUUGCACAAUGGGCGGAAGCCUGAUGCAGCAACGCCGCGUGCGGGAUGACGGCCUUCGGGUUGUAAACCGCCUUCGCCUGUGACGAAGCGUGAGUGACGGUAAUGGGUAAAGAAGCACCGGCUAACUACGUG